rnacentral:rRNA from 1 species
AACGAACGCUGGCGGCAGGCCUAACACAUGCAAGUCGAGCGGAUCCUUCGGGAUUAGCGGCGGACGGGUGAGUAACGCGUGGGAAUAUGCCCUUCUCUACGGAAUAGCCUCGGGAAACUGGGAGUAAUACCGUAUACGCCCUACGGGGGAAAGAUUUAUCGGAGAGGGAUUAGCCCGCGUUGGAUUAGGUAGUUGGUGGGGUAGUGGCCUACCAAGCCUACGAUCCAUAGCUGGUUUGAGAGGAUGAUCAGCCACACUGGGACUGAGACACGGCCCAGACUCCUACGGGAGGCAGCAGUGGGGAAUCUUAGACAAUGGGGGAAACCCUGAUCUAGCCAUGCCGCGUGAGUGAUGAAGGCCUUAGGGUUGUAAAGCUCUUUCAGCUGGGAAGAUAAUGACGGUACCAGCAGAAGAGGCCCCGGCUAACUCCGUGCCAGCCGCCGCAGUAAUAC